CUCAAACUGAAAUUGGUUCUGUUAUUUCCCAGCUAUCGACAGGUCACUGAGAGGACACAUAAAAUUGACUGUGGGGGGAAGAGAGCAGCCUUGAUGACCUCGCAGCCCUGCUUUUAAAGUCCAGGUGUCUCUUGCUGUUGCUUUCCCGCAGGAAGUCAGGGUCAUUUCUCUUCCUCUCUCCGGCAACAUGCAGCAUAAAGUGUCCAGGCAUGGAUGAGAGGAGAGCGCAGGCAGGCAGACAGACAUCAGUCAGCUGAAUCAAGCAUGAAUUUCCUCAGCGGGAACAUUCAGGACAUUAUGUAAGCGCUUCAGGAUUUCAACAGAUGAGGGGAAUCCCUGAGGACAGUGUGUGAUUGACA